rnacentral:rRNA from 1 species
GAGGAAUAUUGGUCAAUGGACGUAAGUCUGAACCAGCCAAGUAGCGUGCAGGAUGACGGCCCUAUGGGUUGUAAACUGCUUUUAUGUGGGAAUAAAGUGGCGCACGUGUGCGCCAUUGCAUGUACCUCAUGAAUAAGGACCGGCUAAUUCCGUGCCAGCAGCCGCGGUAAUACGGAAGGUCCGGGCGUUAUCCGGAUUUAUUGGGUUUAAAGGGAGUGUAGGCGGUCUGUUAAGCGUGUUGUGAAAUUUAGGUGCUCAACAUUUAACUUGCAGCGCGAACUGUCAGACUUGAGUACACGCAGCGCAGGCGGAAUUCAUGGUGUAGCGGUGAAAUGCUUAGAUAUCAUGAGGAACUCCGAUCGCGAAGGCAGCCUGCGGGAGUGUUACUGACGCUUAAGCUCGAAGGUGCGGGUAUCGAACAGGAUUAGAUACCCUGGUAGUCCGCACUGUAAACGAUGGAUGCCCGCCGUUGGCGCCCUGCGCCUGCGGCCAAGCGAAAGCAUUAAGCAUCCCACCUGGGGAGUACGCCGGCAACGGUG